GUAAAUAUAGUUUGAUCAAAACUUUAGAUUGUGAAUCUGACAACAGAAGGUUACUUCUUCUUAUUUACC
rnacentral:tRNA from 1 species